UUGCCCUACGGGACGCAGCAGUGGGGAAUAUUGCACAAUGGGGGGAACCCUGAUGCAGCGACGCCGCGUGAGUGAAGAAGUAUUUCGGUAUGUAAAGCUCUAUCAGCAGGGAAGAAAAUGACGGUACCUGACUAAGAAGCCCCGGCUAACUACGUGCCAGCAGCCGCGGUAAUACGUAGGGGGCACGCGUUAUCCGGAUUUACUGGGUGUAAAGGGAGCGGAGACGGCAGAGCAAGUCUGAAGUGAAAGCCCGCGGCACAACUGCGGGACUGCUGUGGAAACUGCCCG
rnacentral:rRNA from 1 species